GCGGGUGUAGUUCAAUGGUAGAAUGUCAGCUUCCCAAGCUGAACACGGGGGUUCGAUUCCCCUCACCCGCUCCA
rnacentral:tRNA from 10 species